rnacentral:rRNA from 1 species
CAGAGGGGGCUAGCGUUGUUCGGAAUUACUGGGCGUAAAGGGCGCGUAGGCGGUUUCUUAAGUUAGAAGUGAAAGCCCGAGGCUUAACCUCGGAAUUGCUUUUAAUACUGAGAGGCUAGAGACCGGUAGGGGAUAGUGGAAUUCCUAGUGUAGGAGUGAAAUCCGUAGAUAUUAGGAGGAACACCAGUGGCGAAGGCGGCUAUCUGGACCGGUUCUGACGCUGAGGCGCGAAAGUGUGGGGAGCAAACAGGAUU